rnacentral:ncRNA from 1 species
UUUUAUCCAGAGCAGUGGAGGGUUACAGGCCUUAUGAAACUGCGGCAACCGACUACAGGUUAAACGAAUGUUUUACAUGUAGAGAAUGGUGCCAACGCCUGCUCGGUUUUGUACCGAGAGCGAUGAU